UUACGGCCAUAUCACGUUGAAACACCAGUUUCGGUACGAUCACCGAAGUUAAGCAACGUCAGAUUUGGUCAGUACCUAGAUGGGUGACCGCUUGGGAAUACCAGGUACUGUAAG